rnacentral:rRNA from 1 species
CCCUACGGGGCGCACGAGGCGCGAAAACUUUACAAUGCGAGAAAUCGUGAUAAGGGAACCCCGAGUGCCCGUAAAUUCGGGCUGUUAAUCUGUUUAAAAAGCGGGUGGAGAAAGGGCCGGGCAAGACCGGUGCCAGCCGCCGCGGUAAUACCGGCGGCUCGAGUGGUGGCCACUAUUACUGGGCUUAAAGCGUCCGUUAGCUGGAUUGUUAAGCUCUCUUGGGAAAUCUACCGGCUUAACCGAUAGGCGUUCAAGGGAUACUGGCAAUCUAGGGACCGGAAGAGGUGAGAGGUACUCCAGGGGUAGGAGUGAAAUCCUGUAAUCC